rnacentral:tRNA from 1 species
GGAUCGGUAGCUCAGUGGUAGAGCGUGGGAUUGCAGUCUCCCAACAGCAGUUAUCCUAAGGUCUCGUGUUCGACCCACGAUCGGUCCU